AGUAACGCGUGGGUAACCUGCCUUAUACAGGAGGAUAACAGUCAGAAAUGGCUGCUAAUACCGCAUAAGCGCACAGAGCUGCAUGGCUCAGUGUGAAAAACUCCGGUGGUAUAAGAUGGACCCGCGUUGGAUUAGCUAGUUGGUGGGGUAACGGCCCACCAAGGCGACGAUCCAUAGCCGGCCUGAGAGGGUGAACGGCCACAUUGGGACUGAGACACGGCCCAG
rnacentral:rRNA from 1 species